UACAGAGGGUGCGAGCGUUAAUCGGAAUUACUGGGCGUAAAGCGUGCGCAGGCGGUUUGCUAAGCCAGGUGUGAAAUCCCCGGGCUUAACCUGGGAACUGCGCUUGUUACUGGCAAGCUGGAGUGUGGCAGAGGGGGGUGGAAUUCCACGUGUAGCAGUGAAAUGCGUAGAGAUGUGGAGGAACACCGAUGGCGAAGGCAGCCCCCUGGGCUAACACUGACGCUCAUGCACGAAAGCGUGGGGAGCAAACAGG
rnacentral:rRNA from 1 species